GUGGGGAAUCUUAGACAAUGGGGGAAACCCUGAUCUAGCCAUGCCGCGUGAGCGAUGAAGGCCUUAGGGUUGUAAAGCUCUUUCAGCUGGGAAGAUAAUGACGGUACCAGCAGAAGAAGCCCCGGCUAACUCCGUGCCAGCAGCCGCGGUAAUACGGAGGGGGCUAGCGUUGUUCGGAAUUACUGGGCGUAAAGCGCGCGUAGGCGGACCAGAAAGUUGGAGGUGAAAUCCCAGGGCUCAACCUUGGAACUGCCUUCAAAACUCCUGGUCUGGAGUUCGGGAGAGGUGAGUGGAAUUCCGAGUGUAGAGGUGAAAUUCGUAGAUAUUCGGAGGAACACCAGUGGCGAAGGCGGCUCACUGGCUCGAUACUGACGCUGAGGUGCGAAAGCGUGGGGAGCAAACAGGAUUAGAAACCCCUGUAGUCC
rnacentral:rRNA from 1 species